rnacentral:rRNA from 1 species
UACGUAGGGUGCAAGCGUUGUCCGGAAUUAUUGGGCGUAAAGAGCUCGUAGGCGGUUCGUCGCGUCGGCUGUGAAAACCCGGAGCUCAACUCCGGGCCUGCAGUCGAUACGGGCGGACUUGAGUGUUGCAGGGGAGACUGGAAUUCCUGGUGUAGCGGUGAAAUGCGCAGAUAUCAGGAGGAACACCGGGGGCGAAGGCGGGUCUCUGGGCAACUACUGACGCUGAGGAGCGAAAGCGUGGGGAGCGAACAGG